rnacentral:lncRNA from 1 species
CAGUGUGUGUAUGUGUGUGUGUGUGUGUGUGUGUGUGUGAGACAGACUGUGUGUGUGUGUGACAGACAGUGUGUGUGUGUGUGUGUGUGUGUGACAGACAGACAGACUGUGUGUGUGUGUGUGUGUGUGUGUGUCCAUCCAUGCACAUGUCUGUGUGUGUCCGUCCGUCCGGUAGAUCUUUUGCACUGAUCUAGGAAUAUUCUUAUUUCUUGCCGGUUUAGGGUACUGCUGUCUGCCAGGCACUGGGCUGGAUCUUAGAAGCAGGGCCAAUGUGCCUUUAAUCAGAACUCGUGCACUCAUUAAUAUACAACAACCUGGCUCCAAGGGGAUCAUCCCUUCAGCUGAAUAGUUAUACAGUUUAAUUUGAUGGUUGUGGCGGCGUGUCAGUGCAAAGGGCAGUCUCUCUAGUUUUGUAGGGCACGGGCAGUCUAUCCCCCUUGCUUGAAUGUACCAGGUAAAACAAGCACGGGGUUGUUCUGAGACUGGCCUGUUCUGUGGGGCUCCGUCCCUGAACUCGCAAAUCUUCACACCGCAGCCCCUAGCAAGCCCUGGAUAGUGGAACGCAAGUUCUAGUUCGGGUUACGAGGCACCAGGCAGAAGGUCAGAAUAACAUACCUCAUUCACGCGCCGGCGAGGGUCUACGUAGCUCAGCUGGGCAGACUACAAGUGGACGUGGCAAGGCGUGUUGCUUAACAUAUGCAAAGUGUGGGCCCGAUUCUGAUCUCAUUGACACCCGGGUAGAUCCCCGGGCUUCCUUGAAACGACGCAGGACUUGCACCCGUGUGACUGAGUGCAGAAUCUGGCCCUGGCCCUUGCAUCUGAAAGCAAAGCUUUCUGUUACGUUGGCGUGGCUGAACCUCCUGCUAGCAACGACCAUCCUGCAGAAAAGGGAGGUUUACGGCCUGGCCGAAAGUCAGAAGCUGCCUCUGGAGCGGUGACCCGGGGCUGCAGACAGUAUUGCUCAGUGAGUGAGCGCCCUGGCCUUUUGCUCCCCGAGACAUGGCUGGAAAUUCUUGUGUAGGGAAAUGAUACAGUGUGCCUGGGUCCUGGUUG